CCAUCCAUUUACUGAUGCCUGCAUGUGCCUCUGGUUUCACAAAUACAGGAAACACCCCGGCGCCUGCCCCCUUGGGGCUGACAGUCCAGAGGGAUGACAGACGUUCACAAAUGUUGUGCGAACCCAUGGGUAUGGGCGGUGAUGCGUGCCCUGGGGAGGGUCUCAUAAGACGUUUGCCUCUUUUAAUCCUGUCCAUGAGCAGCUAUAUGAUGAUGAUGUGAUAUCUGGAGCUGCAACAGCCAUCUUGCAGCCAUGAGGCAACAAGCUUGACUACAACAGCAGAGAUACUGAACACACUGAGGUGAAAGAAUACAAGAUCUAAGGGCUUCCCUGGUGGCUCAGACGGUUCAGAUUCUGCCUGCAAUGCAGGAGACCUAGGUUCAGUCCCUGGAUUGGGAAGAUCCCCUGGAGGAGGGCACGGCAACCCACUCCAGUAUUCGUGCCUGGAGAAUCCCAUGGACAGAGGAGCCUGGGGUCGCAGAGAGUCGGACACGACUGAGCGACUCAACAAGAAGACAUCAGAGGCAGAAACAAAGCAAGCUGAAAAACGCGCUGUCUGUGGUGUGUUGGACCAGAACAGUCUGACAGUUCUGUAUCUCAGCGAGUCUUAUGAUGAUGAUGAUAUAUAAUACUCCUUUACCUACUAAAUACUAAAUACGCAGCCCUGCAGCCCUAGGCCCCGGGAUUAGUACAGUUUCACUCGACAGCUGCAUUCAGUGGUGUGUGGAGCAACCAGCUCAAGCCAGUUCCUAACAGCUGACUGUGAACAUCCCUCCCCCACUGCAGGUUCAGUGAUCUCACUUUUGAAGCUUGACGUGAGCCACACUGUAUUUACUCCCCAGAAACUGAUGGCGGAGUAGACGGAUGUGAGCUCCUCUCCUGUGAGAACCCCACAAACUACAACUCGCUGCCCAACAACCAUCAACAGGAGAAUGUCGGAUCCCACCAAAAACAGAUACUUUGCCAACAAAGGUCCGUCUCGUCAAGGCUAUGGUUUUCCCAGUGGUCAUGUAUGGAUGUGAGAGUUGGACUAUAAAGAAAGCUGAGCACAGAAGAAUUGAUGCUUUUGAACUGUGGUGUUGGAGAAGACUCUUGAGAGUCCCUUGGACUGCAAGGAAAUCCAACCAGUUCAUCCUAAAGGAAAUCGGUCCUGAGUAUUCAUUGGGAGGACUGAUGCUGAAGCUGAAACAGCAAUAUUUUGGUCACUUGAUGUGAAGAACUGACUCAUUGGAAAACACCCUGAUGCUGGGAAAGAUUGGGAGAAUCCCAGGGACAGAGGAGCCUGACGGGCUAUGGUCUAUAGGGCUCAAAAGAGUUGGACACAACUGAAGUGACGAACACACUGCCUUCUUUUGGUGCUCAUCUGUUGGUGAAGAAUUCAGUUUUUCGUUGCCUGAAAUUAAUGUCUUUAUCUCACCUCCAAUUUUGAAGUUUUCUCCUGCUGUAGAGUUCUAGGUUGGCAUUUAUUUUUUAGCACUUAAAUAUGGCAUUAAUCAGUUUUGUUUCAAAUGACUGCAGGUCUUCUCAUUGCUCCUUUGAAAAUAAUGUGUCCUUUUUCUCUCAGUGCUUUUAAGACUUUGCCUUUGGAGUUCAGCAGUUUUCCUCUGAUGUGUCUCCGUGUAUGUGUGUGUUGACUUUUACUGAAGUGUAAUAGAUUAAAAUUGGACGUGUAGAAUGCACAGCUUGACAAAUCCUCACAGAAUCAGCACUCCUAGGUUUUCCAGUAACUUCUCUCCAAAGGUAAUGACUUUGCUGACUUCAACAGCAUGGGUUAAAUGUGCCUGUUACAGUUCUUUAUCUUAGCGUGAAUAUUCUCUGCAGCCUCUGUGUGUGUGUGUGUGUGUGUGUGUGUGGCUUCCUCUGCUCAACCGAAUAUUUUAAGAUUUGUCCAACACCCUGGGUGCUGUGGAGUGUUUUAUUGUGUGAAUCACCACCACGUGUACAUCCCCCCUAGUGUAAAGAGGCAUUUGCUUAGCUUCCAGUUUACAUUAGGAUGGAAAGUGUUGCUUUGAAUGUGUCAAUUCAUGUCCAGUGGUGAGCGUAUAUGUGCGUUUCUGUUGGAAUAAACCUCGGACUGUAAUUGCCGUGUGUUGUGCAUUUAUUCAGUUCUAGUAGGCACUUCUGAAUAUGUUUCGCAGUGAUGGCAUCAGUUCACACUCUGAGCAUUCUGGUUACCCCACAUCCUCACUGGUCCCUCUGCUUUCCCAUCUUCUUAUUUUUGCCUUGCUGUGAGGGGUGGUGGUACCUUUGUGGUAUUACUUUGCAUGUCUCUGGUAACGAAUGCAUUUGGGA